CAUAAUCAGUAGUCUUUUAAUUGAAGGCUUGAAUGAAUGGUUGGACGAAAUAUUAGCUGUUUCAUUAAUAUUUAUAAUAAAAUUUUAUUUUUUAGUUAAAAAGCUAAAAUUCAUUUAAAAGACGAGAAGACCCUAUAAAUCUUUAUAAUUUUAUAAUUAAAUUUAUUUAGAAGUUAUUGAAUUUAAUUAUAGAAAUUAUUUUAUUGGGGUGAUAUUAAAAUUUAAUUAACUUUUAAUUUUUUAUUUCAUUAAUUUAUGAGUAUUUGAUCAAUUAAUAGUGAUUAAAAGACCAAGUUACUUUAGGGAUAACAGCGUAAUUUUUUUGAAGAGUUCUUAUCGAUAAAAAAGAUUGCGACCUCGAUGUUGGAUUAA
rnacentral:rRNA from 1 species